rnacentral:rRNA from 1 species
AUUGAACGCUGGCGGCAUGCCUUACACAUGCAAGUCGAACGGUAACAGGCCGCAAGGUGCUGACGAGUGGCGAACGGGUGAGUAAUGCAUCGGAACGUGCCCAGUCGUGGGGGAUAACUGCUCGAGAGCGCAGCUAAUACCGCAUACGACCUGAGGGGGAAAGCGGGGGACCGUAAGGCCUCGCGCGAUUGGAGCGGCCGAGGUCAGAUUAGCUAGUUGGUGGGGUAAAGGCCUACCAAGGCAACGAUCUGUAGUUGGUCUGAGAGGGCAACCAGCCACACUGGGACUGAGACACGGCCCAGACUCCUACGGGAGGCAGCAGUGGGGAAUUUUGGACAAUGGGCGCAAGCCUGAUCCAGCAAUGCCGCGUGCAGGAAGAAGGCCUUCGGGUUGUAAACUGCUUUUGUCAGGGAAGAAAUCUUCUGGGCUAAUACCCCGGGAGGAUGACGGUACCUGAAGAAUAAGCACCGGCUAACUACGUGCCAGCCGCCGCCCGUAA